UCUCGGGAACGGAUAUCUCGUCUCUUGAAUUGAUGAAGAACGUAGCGAAAUGCGAUACUUUGUGUGAAUUGCAGAAUCCCGUGAACCAUCGAGUCUUUGAACGCAAGUUGCGCCCGAAGCCAUUUGGCCGAGGGCACGUCUGCCUGGGCGUCA
rnacentral:rRNA from 1 species